UCGAUGCAAAGAGGGGUCUUGGGGGUUUUUCCCCUCCCCUUGUCCUUUUUUUUUCGCCAUGUGCUUGAGCCUCAUGGGGCGUUUUUGAGCCUGACGGGGCAACUUUCCGGAGCGGGCGGUGUUGGAGGUUGAUUUUUUGGGAGGUGACGGGCUCGUCCCGCAGGCGCGCGGCUCCCAGUGCAGGAAUUCCUGCCAGCUCGCCUUUGUGCCAGCCUCCCUUGGCCUUGGGUGUCUCGUUCGGAUGGAGCCUGGCAUCCAGGCACCGCCCAUUUCUUGGCAUAGAGCUGCGAGGAGAAGGAAAGGGGAGAGAGCGAGCGAGAGAAGGGAAAAAAAAAAGCUGUCUCACUCAAACUGGCCUUUCUCGGAAAAGGAUCCUUCCCCGAUGAUUGUCCGGAUAAGCGGAGCUAAAUCCAGCCACUACUCAACAACAAAACCACUCUCUUCCACGGUGCGUCUCUCUUGCUGCCUUGUGAUUCUGCAUUUCCUUCAGUAGCCUGGAUGUCUUGGCGUUAGUAGCCACGUCACUUUGUUCGUGGACACUCUGAGGAGCAGAUCCCUGCCCCGUGGCACGGGGGGGGGAUCAGGCUCAGAUAAGGUGCUGGCAUGAUCGUCCUGCUGUUCCUUGAGUGGCUUUCCAGACAUGUGGAGAGAAGCAGAGCGGAGCUGGGAAGGAGAGCAGAAAGAGGUGAAAUGGCUUUCCUUGCACAGAAAGGACCUGUGGAGCAGCCAAUGCCUGGAUAAGAAUCAUUUCAGUGCCUGGAUAAGGAUCAUCUCAGUGCCUGGAAAAGGAUCAUAUCAGUGCCUGGAUAAGGAUCAUCUCAGUGCCUGGAAAAGAAUCAUCUCAGUGCCUUAGGCUGCCAUGGUCCCAAGCUGUCCUUGAGGCUGAGGUAGUAGAUUGAAUAGUUGUGGAGUCUGGUCCUCCCUCUGAGCUAACUAUACAAUCUACUGUCUUUCCUAAGGAGACAGUCAGGUCUUCAGGUCUGCUCGUCCACUUCUACACCAGGUGUGGGGCAGGUGGUGCCAGUAGAGCACAUCUGUGCCUGUGACUCGUCUGUUCUGCUCUGUGGAGGUGAGGUAGUAGGUUGUAUAGUUUGGUGGGAGGGAUUUGAUCCCAUUUCAGGUGAUAACUAUACAGUCUAUUGCCUUCCUUAAAGAGCAGCAAAACCACGGAGGAGCUCCCGAGGCAUCGCUGCUUUUGUUGAGGAUCCAAAAAAGCAGCAUGGCAUUGUUAAACAACUCAGUGGGUGUUUCUCUUACAGCAUCCAGAAUUGCAUUCUUCCAGGAAUUGCUUCAUGCCUCAGGCACUGGAGCAUGGAGCCACCUGCUUCCAGGGAACCCACCUCUCUUUAAGAUUCCAGAGAACCAGGGAAAUGAGGUUGCACAGCAGCUCCCAGUGUUCAAUUUUAUCCUUUUUUUUUUUUUUUUUUUUUUUUGCAGGAGAUGGAUUCAAGUUGUAAAGUGUUUAAAUGUGUUGAUCUUUUUUUCUGGUCUGUCCUCAGGUCUGGAGGGGUGCAGAUACUUUUGUAUAAAUGGGACAGAUCUGAGCUCCUGAUUUAAUUUUGUUGUGCCCAGUUCUGAAGUUUGGGUUCAGAACCAGACCCAGGGGCAGGCUUAGCCUGUGGACUUCAGAGCCCUGGGAGCUGAUCAGAUUUGGCUGCUUGGCCCCUGCUCAGGAAGUGCAUUUUGUUUUGGACAAGUUCCCAGCCUGUCCCAUGGAACAGAGUUAGAGGGUGGUUCUUUCUGAUCUGAUAAUCCCUUAUCAACUGAACUCCCUCACAUGCAAACCCUGUCAGGGAAGUUUGGGGCUCUUGGGUAUUUAAACAGGGUGAACCAAUGAUUCCAACUAAAAUCUUGAACUAAAGUGGAGACAGGUAAGGAAGAGACAUGAGGCAGAAGGAGCAGGUUCUAAUCCUUCUGGGUUCUCCCAGGCAGUCCCCUGACAACAGACAUGGGAGAAGUCAUCACGCUGCAGAGCUCUGGGCCUUGGCAGGGGACUGGGAACUGUUAAUUCUUCUGUUUCUUAGGAGCAGCUGGGACGAUCCCUCUGCCGUUUUCCAGAGUAAGUAGGGUCAAGGCCAGGAGUGGAGCUGUAACACGAUCAGGGCUGCACCAGGAAGGACAUUUCAGGCCAUUAUCACGACCAUCUUACUGCCAGGGAGACUGUGAGACCCGAGACACCGGGGAGCGAGGGCAAGCAGAGGACACCUUCUCAGAUGAAAUGGGAGGGAGAGAGCAGAGAGAAAUUGGAGCCCUCCGAUUUCAUCCUGAGCAAAGGCACAGGGAGAGCCAGAGCUGGCUGCUGGGGCCGUGGGAGUCCCCAGAAUGAAGCAGAAUUUCAGGCCCCUCUGCUGGGACAGGGCGUAGCUGCAGCGGGGCUGGGACGCAGCUGCUGGGUGGGGAUGCUGCAGCUCCAAGCAGCGAAGGAAUGCAGCCCUCUCUCCAUAAAUCUGGCUUUUCAGCAGUCCUGGCGACUUGCUGUGCAACACUACAGCUUGGUCCUCUGAGCUGCAUUAUUAUCCUCCAGCUGCUUGCUCAGGGGCAGGGCUCCUGCCCGCAGAUUGCCUGGAAGGUUUCUAAAAUAGCAGCACAAGCAUGGAACAGGGUGGCAUAUCCACUUCAUCUGGAGAGGUGUGCCCUGGAAAAGAGCUAAUCCCACGUGUCCCAGAUGGAAUCCCUUCAGUCCCCCUCCAUGGCACUGAUACUAAUGCAGAGAAUCUCAAACAGUGGAACUGUGUGAGCUGGAAGCCAUGAAUAAAAUAUUACUGGAGAUAUUCCCUCGUGAAAAUAAACUUGGUUUGACUUUUUAAAAA